AUUGAACGCUGGCGGCAUGCCUUACACAUGCAAGUCGAACGGCAGCGCGGGGCAACCUGGCGGCGAGUGGCGAACGGGUGAGUAAUAUAUCGGAACAUACCCUAGAGUGGGGAUAACGUAGCGAAAGUUACGCUAAUACCGCAUACGCACUAAGGUGGAAAGUGGGGGAUUCGCAAGAACCUCAUGCUCAUGGAGUGGCCGAUAUCUGAUUAGCUAGUUGGUGAGGUAAAGGCUCACCAAGGCGACGAUCAGUAGCUGGUUUGAGAGAACGACCAGCCACACUGGAACUGAGACACGGUCCAGACUCCUACGGGAGGCAGCAGUGGGGAAUUUUGGACAAUGGGCGCAAGCCUGAUCUAGCCAUGCCGCGUGAGCGAUGAAGGCCUUAGGGUUGUAAAGCUCUUUCGUGGGGGAAGAUAAUGACGGUACCCCAAGAAGAAGCCCCGGCUAACUCCGUGCCAGCAGCCGCGGUAAU
rnacentral:rRNA from 1 species